CACGGGGGGAGCAAGCGUUGUUCGGAAUCACUGGGCGUAAAGGGCGUGUAGGCGGCUCGGUAAGUGGAAUGUGAAAUGCCCCGGCUCACCCGGGGACCUGCAUCCCAAACUGCCGGGCUUGAGUAUGGGAGAGGAUGAGGGAAUUCCUGGUGUAGCGGUGAAAUGCGUAGAUAUCAGGAGGAACACCGGUGGCGAAGGCGCUCAUCUGGCCCAAUACUGACGCUGAGGCGCGAAAGCUAGGGGAGCAAACGGG
rnacentral:rRNA from 1 species